UACGUCCUUCAGUGCGUCUCUGCGUCUACACGUCCUGCUUCUCUUGUCUGCGUGGAUCAAUUUGCAUGUAGUUUGGUAUGCACUAGCAUUUAUCUGCUACCAAGAGCGCUGUCGUCAAAUACGGCUGCUGCAUACUCAAGCUUUGCAACUUUGUGCCUGUGCUACAACGGCGUCGGCUCUCAGUGGAUUGGCGCUGCUUCAAGAUUGUUUAUCAAAUGAACGGCGCAAGCGGUCUCUCUGGGCAAAAACAAGAUCUGAUGAAUGGUCGCGUGGCAUCGUCCUAGAAGAACUCGCGGACAGCGACUGAAGGAAAAUUUUCCGCUUGACCCGGGCUUCAUUUCAUGAGCUUGACUCUCUUAUGGGAGAUUAUAUGUCAUCGAAAUCUGGCUGGGUUUCGCAGCAUCACUUGCAACGUGCUUGGAUCAGCGCAUGAUGCCACAGUGCGGAAGUUGUCUAACUUGUACCGGAGGAGCAACGACUUGCUGUCACAGGAAGAAAGAACCUUGCGUGGCUUCCAGAUACCAUUUUUGCUGCUUGGCAACCCUGCAUACCUAUGUUUGCCAUGGAUUUUCAAAGGCUAUACAGGGGCACUCUCUAAGGAACAGGAGUCAUUUAACGUUUACCACAGUUCAGGCCGCAAUGUAGUGGAACACGCAUUUGGGCGGCUAAAGGGACGAUGGCGCAUACUUUCAAAAUGUGCGGAUACCAUCUACAAGUUUAUGCCAACCGUAAUAGCAGCGACAUGUAUACUGCACAAUUUCUGUGAACAAAGGCGGAAAAGCCUCACAGAUGCAUGGCUGUCAUCUCUUUAGGAUACGGAGCAAAACGUCUAUGCGCAGCCGUCUAGCACUCCUCGGGACCUGAAGGCCGUCUAUGCUAUGAGAUACUUUUUGAAGCAGUUCAUGACAGAAGAAUUUCCUUUGCGCUCUGAUUCAUGGUAGAACAUUGCUAAAGGCCACGAUGUUAACAAGGCAAUUGUUAACACAUUGUUAACAUGUACCUAAGCAGAAGUACACUGGUCCUGUCUUAGACGACGAACUGCAAUGCACCCAUAAAAGUGAAAGUGGGAAGCAGUUAUUCAUCACUAAACUUGCAGCACGUUUGGAGAUGACAUGCUAUGUGUUUAAAUUAUAAGGUGGUUGUGAGGAACAUAAGAAGUUCCUAAGGUCAAGAUGUUCAUUUCACCUUCAAAAUUUCAGA